GGCAUUUGCAAAUGAACUUCAACACGCGUGAAGACUCUCCACUAAUAGCCGCAUCACAAGCAGCGACGUCGUCGGCUGCCGAUGUCCGCCAUAUGGAUCGUUUUGUGGGUGGCACGAGCAACGCACGCCAAACUAGUCUCAUCGAGAUAGUUGUUGGAUUCAUGUUCAUGUCAACAGUUUUAAUUUUACUUGGUAUUUUCCUUGGAUUCGUACUUGCCAAAUUGUCAUAGAAUAUGGGUUGAUGGUGUCUUUUGUGUUUUGACAUGAUCAUUUCGAUGACUCGAAUAUUUAAGCCUAAGAAACUUUAUGCAUUUUUUGGUGAUUUUGGAUACUUGUAUUCGAAUGACAAAGUUUUUUAUUGGAAUACAAUGGGCUGG
rnacentral:lncRNA from 1 species